rnacentral:rRNA from 1 species
UACGGAGGGCGCGAGCGUUGUCCGGAAUCACUGGGCGUAAAGGGCGCGUAGGCGGCCCUGGUAAGUCUGCGGUGAAAGCCCGGGGCUUAACCCCGGGUCUGCAGUCGAUACGGGCUAGCUAGAGUGUGGUAGGGGAGAUCGGAAUUCCUGGUGUAGCGGUGAAAUGCGCAGAUAUCAGGAGGAACACCGGUGGCGAAGGCGGGUCUCUGGGCCGAUACUGACGCUGAGGAGCGAAAGCGUGGGGAGCGAACAGG